CCUUAAGCACCUAUGCUUCCUUGAACCUGUUUGUAAACAAACCUUAAUCCACCUGGAUUAAAUUCCUUUAGACAAGACUUAGUCUAAAAAAUAUAAGAUUACAAAUAUAAAGUUCUAAUGAUAAAAGCAAAUAAACAAUUUAACAAUGCAAUGCUAAACUAAUGAAUGCAAUAAUCAAGUAGUAAAAGAGAGAUAUCACCAAAAUUAAGCUCACAAAAAUUAGCUGAGAAUAAUCUGAAUAUGAAUUGCACAACAGCUCAAAAUUUGCACGAAGAAUAAUUUAAUAGCUCUUCAAGUAUAUAAGUGCAAAAUAUUAAUUCAAGUGUUGUGUAUUUAACUGGUAUCUCAAUUCUUCUUUUUAUAGCUCAGAAAACAACCGUUGUGAAAUAAAAUAUUUCUUUUGCAAAUUUUUAUUCUGUUAUUAAACUUUAUUUACGUUGCCAACAGAAUACAAAUAGAUAAGUAACGUUCUAAGUUUAUGUCCGUUGGAAAGUAUAUUUUAACAGAUAUAGACUAUGUCAAAGAUAUCCCACAAAGAUAAAAGGUUCCGUGUAAAUCACAUAUAGUCUAUAAUCAUAACUUCCGCGUAAUUAAUGUUACGGACUCUUUCAAGCAUAAUCCACUUAAGGAGAUAACCCACUAACAUAUCACAGAACUCUUUUUAAAAUAAAUCACUUAACAAAGUGUUAGUUCCGUAAUUCUUGCAAAGAGCCAACAAAGAAAUUUCAAAUACUUUCCAGUAUAAUAAUUAUCUUAUAUUUCCAAGAUAUAUGCAAUUAAUCCUACCAACAGAUAAUGAUCACAUCUCUGCCGCCACAAGAUUUUAUCUUUCCAACAAAUCUAAAUCAUAUGAAUUCUUCUUACACCCGUGUUAUACAGAUUAUAUAAAAACAGAAUUCUCUCAUAACACAUGGCAAUAUAAUUCAUUUAAUCCAGACAACAUAAUUUAUCAUUUUAAUUUUAUGCAUGCAUAAUAUAUAUAUACUUACCAUCUGAAAUCAGUCAUGUAGUAACAGUUAGCAUAAAAUAUAAAAUUCUUAAGCAUGCACAAAAUAUUUGAUCAUAUUUUAAUGCACACAUAAAAUGUCCUAGAGCCUUGUAUUGAAAAAUGAAGUAUUUGCAAUGUCCUAGAGCCUUCAAAGUCUUUUGACAAUAAUCCUUCAUCAACUUCCUGAAAUUUCAUAAUAAACAAAUUAGUCCAUAAUAUUAAUUCAUCAUCAAAACAAUAAGGUUAGAAUAUUAACAACUCAACAACAAAGCUAUCUUAAUAUUCAACAUUUGAAAAAUGGCUAUUAUCUUAUUUAAGUUUUAACUCCUUUUGGGUAUACAAACACAAUUUUAAUGAGGUAAUAUUACUACAUUAUGAUAGUUUGGGAUAUAUAUAUAUAUAUAUAUACAUUUUCAUAUAAUCCAUGUUCUUUAGUCUAGUCCAGUUAAUAUCAGGUAUGAACACAAUUUAAUUGGGUACUAAAAAUCCAAUUUUUCCAUAAAAAUUUAUUAUUUAAUUACACAUCAUUAUUAAAAUAAAUAUUUUAAUAGUACAUAUUUAUUUACUCCCAUAUAUUAAAAUACACAUUUAAUUAUCCCACCACACAUGAUGAGGUCACAAAAACUCAUCUUAACCAAUUAUAUGAUUUAAUUACUUUUACUAUAUAAUUUUGUAUAACAUUAUUGACAUUUAAAUGUCACACGUUAUGCUAUGUCAAUUCAUGGAUUAAUUAUAUGGUACUACUACUUAUGUAACGCCAGAGAAAAAUUGGAUUUUUAUGACAAUUAAAUUUUUAUUUGAUUAUGUGAAUUAAAUGAAUUUAAUUGAUUUAUUUUGUGAGUAAGCUAUGUGAAGGUCUUUCUAUGACCUAGAAUGUGCUAAUGUGGUUAGUAAUCUGGCUACGUGCUAGAAUUAAUUGUUUAGAAUUUCCAAGACGAAAAUAAAUAUUUUCCGAGAAAUUCCCGUAAAAACACUAUUCAUCCGUUUCUGUUCAGGGAAUAAUUUUGAAAUUCCGAGAAAUGCGUAAUGAUAGAAUAUUGAGAUAAGAUGAAAUAUCUAAUAAUAUUUCAUUUAUGGCAAAUGAAGGUUUCGCCUGCUGAAUUAAAACCUAAGGGUUGAGUGAAAUGAUUUCCGAGAAGGAAAUGAAAUGCGUAGAAGGAUUUGCGUUAUUGUUAAUCUGUGUGUUAUACUAGGGUGAUACUAUUUAGUAUCUAUGUAUAAUACGAUGAGUUAAUAUGGAGAACAAUACGAUUAUCGUACGAGUACUAUACAGAUAGAAUACGUGAUUUAUACGUAUGUAAUACGAUUAGUAUUAUGGAAUUAAGUUAAGACUUAAUGUAAAUUCGUUUGGGUUGGAUUAUGUUUUAUCCAAUCAAUUGAAUGAGCAAGCCCAAGGGAUUAAUAUGUUAAGCCCAAGUCAAGGGCCAAUAUUAGAUUGGUUAAGCCCAAUGCAAGAAAACAAAACCGUGGAUCGAACCGGUGGGUCAUCGAAUGGAUAAAACCCAUGGGGAAACCCAUGGGGAUGACCCAUGGGCAUGGUGGGCCGACCACUUGGUGUGCAAGGCAAGAAAAUCACUUGGUCACCAAGUAUUUUACUUGGUGGAAAAGUGUGGAAUAGUAAGGAGGUGGGGUGUUUAGUCCAUAUUGCCCUCCAUUUCAUUUACCUAUAAAUAGAAAGCAAGAGUUGGUCUUUUGUGAGUUUUUCAAUUGCCAACCUAGAUUAUUGAGAGAGAAAGAGAGCUAGACUCAACAAAAUCCUACACUUGGAAGCUUUGCCUUGUAGUUUUCCAAGAGUUUUCUUAAGAGUUCUUAAGGAUCCUUAAUUCUAAUUCCAUCUCUUUUGGUUUUCUUUUAUCAUGGAGAAUCAUAAAUAGGUGGUGAAUAUCUUAUAUAGUGGGAUAAGAAUGAUUACCACAGAUUCAAUCUCUAUAAGUCAUGAGAUCAUAAAAAUCAUAAGGGUUGUUAUAGCUUAAAAUCAUGAAAUUAUUGAUUGUUGAGAUUGAUUGUUAAUAAACAAUUGAACUGCAUUAAUACGUUAAUAUGUGCAUCUUGCUUGGUUAGGAUGUAGAUAUGAAGUCCAUGGAGUAUUCCAUGCGAUUUGGCUUAGAGAACAUUAGUAACGAAGUUAUAGCGAAUUUCACGGAAAUAGACGUUAAACGUCGAAAACGUAGAAAUUCCAGAUUAGUAGUCAAAAGUUGCCGUGAGACUUGAAAAUGUUGUUUUUCAAUGUCAACACGUGAGAUAGGGUAUUUAAGAGUCGUAGGUUCGAGAAUCGUCGGAUUUUGACUUAAAACUAAGAAAACGAGCAUUGAACGCUCAUUAACGUUUACGAACGCUUAGAAAAUGAACUCAAUAGUGAAUUUUGAGUUAUCGGUUUCAAAAGUGUUGAAUUCUUAUAUGAACCCAUAGAUUAUGUCAUUUAUGAUGUGUAGGCUUUUGAACGGACCAAAUCGAACUUAUAACGAAGAAGUUAUGGCUCCGAGAAACUCACCAAAAUUUUAAUCUAUGAAAAUUUUCUGGUGCUGAGGUCUGGCGCCGCGGUGCCAGACAGUGUGUUAAAUGCCACGCCACAGCAUUGGCACAGUAUAGUUGGCUACUGGAAAGUGGCGCCGCAGCGCCACUGAUAGAAGGAAAUCUCGCGCCGCAGCGCCAAGACCGAAGCAUGGGUACUGCUAAUUGGCGCCGCAGCGCCAGUCUUGUAUUGAGAUGUCAUGCCGCGACGCGGGUGCAGGGCUUUUGAUAGAUGACUUAGGUUUUGAACUUCAAUUGUUCAGGGACCUAUAUGAGUAAUGUUUGUGCACUUCAUAAGUUUAUUAAAACUAUUCCUAUACUACCUAUACUAAUGUAUAUGGUAUUGAACUUAGGAAUUGAUUGCAUGUUAGUAAGUUAUGAACAAAGAACGUAAAGUGUUAUCGAUAAACCUUAAUCGAUAAAUAACGUUGGUAGUUCACUAAUGAUGAUAGAGUCUAGUUAAUAACGUAAGAUGGUUAAUAUGUCGGGACGAAGGGUAAUAAGUCAAGUUGACUUUAAUAAUAAUACUAAGUUAACAAAGACAUAGAAGGGAAAGAAGUUGGUAGGAACAAUGUGAAUAAUUAUUUAAUAGCUAAUUACAGUGUGCUAUAUGAAUAUAUCAUGUAGAUUCUGUAAAGGUUGUGGUCAGUCGAUUAAGUUAUUUGAAGACGCUGAAAAGCAAGUUUUCUUAACGCUUGUCUAACUUCCAAGUUAGUCAAGUUUUAUGUGAUUCAUUGUACUGAAUUGCAUGACUAGUUUUAAAGAAAGGGUCAAUGCCAGAUUUAACUCGGCUAGACUACUCGUAAGAUAUAGAUUGAUUGAUAUUCAUAUCUUUCUAUAUAGAAAUGUUAACGCUAUCCUAUGCCAAGUAAUUGGUACGAAUGUGAAGGUAAGGUUUGUCUAUGAACAAACAAAAGUAUUUUUUAUCGAUUAUUCGAUGGGCACGCGAGUUUGCCAAAUGUUAAACUUAAAUACGUUUAACGAAUUAGUGUUGAUCAACAUAGAGUACUAUAGGCUGAUCACCUAGAAGUGCUCGUAAGUAAUGCGGAUGUACAGCCUUAGUGCUGUGAUAUCCUUUUCAAGUAUGAAAAUAGAAAGCUAUUGUUCAUGGUCUAUCGACCGAUUCAGAAUUCCUAAUAUAUUCUAUACCUUGGGAAUUGAUGAUAUGAAUUGUUAAAGUAUUAUUGUUUCAUAAUACUUCAUAACUAUUUGUUCAGUUAUGUAGGAAUUGUCAUAUAAUUCACGAAUGUGGUAUUACUGUUAUCCUUUGUUAAACUUGCUGAGCUUGUUAUGCUCAGUUUUUGCGUGAAUUAUAUGAUUGCAGUUAAGGAUGAACGUACUGAGAAUGCUAAGAGAGAUAAGGGCAAGGCUAAGAUGGAUACCUAACCAUCGUGUAAUAGACUAGUAUGCUUGUAUGUAUUAUACAUUAUGAACAACGAACGAUGUAAUCGGUUUAUGAACUUGGGAAGGAUUAUACUUUGAUUGUAAUAAGAAUAUAGUAAUUACAUUCAUUUUGUUGUAUUUCAAUGGAAUGGUUGUAUAGUUAUGAGUACAGUGUAGCACCAUAUUGGGGGGUCACAUGUUGGUAUCAAAACAUUAGGUUAUAAAACUUAAGGGGGGAAGAACCUUAGGCUAAUAACCUCGUAAGGAAGGUAAAUUCCGAAGAAUGAAAUUCAAGUCAAUUGAAUUAAUAAGGUAUUGAGAAAACUCAGUACCGAAAGAAUUUAAAAGAUGGAAAUUAAUUUUAAAUAAAUUAAAUGUGAUUUAUGCUUAUACUAUUGUGUAUUAUGUACUAAUCAACGUGUUAUGUGUUAUGUAGAUAUCGAUCAAUAUCAUGAUGUAUAGAGACAUUCACGUUGUGAGUGAAGAGUCAGUGAACCAAGUGGAGGUAGUACCUAUGCCUGUGGGGGAGGUACCGUUAGUGGUUCUAGAAGACUCGGAUAUUGAGGAGUACAUCUCUGAGGAGCAAUACUCUGAGGAGACAAUGGGGAUAGCGUCAUAUCUGAAUAUGAUGAUAGAUGUAGAGGAGGAGAUGGAGGUAACAUCGAUUAAUACGGUGGUACCUACUCAGGAGCCAACACCUUCGGAUGCAAUGAGAUCAUUGUAUCUAGCUGUGUUGGAUAGGAAUGUGCAUCUGUGCACUGUGGUGCAGACACAGAAUGAGGAGAUAAUCGCUCUAUAUGAGGCGAAGGAAUCUGCAGAAGCAGAUUUUGAGUCAGAGCACAAUGAGAAAGUGCAUAUGACGGAUAAAGCACGAGACUAUAAGGAAGAGGCCUUAGAGCUUUGAAAGAAACUGGUUGAAAAAGUCCAGAAGAUAGCUAGGAUGUCAUACAUCCACGAAUGCGCUCUUGAGGAUUUCAAGCUGAAAAUUGCUUGUUAUUCCAUUAAUUCCGGGCAGACUCGACAUACCAUUAGCCAGGAUAUUGUUUUGAAUCUAGCGAAUCAAAAACAUGAGAAUGCCGUUCAGCAGUAUUAGGAUAUCGUUAGAUCUUUUUGUAUAUGUGUAGUAACGUAAAACCCUCUUUUGUAUAAUUAAAGGGUAGUCUUUUUGUAAAUCCUAAUUUUUGUAAAAGUCAAUCGCGGGAUAGUAUGUAAUAGCUUUUUGGCUAAGGGAACAUGAUGUAAAUAGUUUUGACUAUGAAAGCAUAUUAAUAUAAUGAAGUUUUAUUUAAUGUGCUUGUUGUGGUAUGAGUUGUUGUUGUUUGAGAAUGAUAACCAAUCAGUUAAAUAGAUAAUAACAAAACUUUAUUUAUUUAAUCAGAAUUAUGCCGCCAAGAAGGAGACAACGUAACCAAGAGGCUGAGUCUCAUAAUGAAAAUCAAGGGGGUCCUAAUAACCCUAUACAAGAGUUCAUUAAUUUAUUAAUGGCUGCAUUUAAGCAAUUGGGGGGAGGGUUCAUGUAGCUCCUAGGGUAGCAAGAACAACUACCUUCAAGGAAUUUAAGAGUGUGGAUCCUCCUGAGUUCCGAGGAACGACAGACCCAUUAGAGGCCCAGACAUGGGUAAAAGAGAUCGAAAAGGCGUUUGUGAUAACAAACGUAGGUGAGGCACAAAAGACUUCUUUUGCGACUUACAUGAUGAAGGGGGAAGCCAAUUACUGGUGGGAGGCUCACCAGGGUGGGGCUAGGACCAAAGCUGUUACGUGGGAACAGUUUAAGAAGGUGUUCUUUGAGAACUACUUCCCUACUAGCAUGCAAGGUAGGAUGGAGAUUAAGUUCUUAGAACUUAAGCAGGGGGAUAUGACAGUUCCCCAGUAUGCCGCCAAAUUCAAUGAAUUGGCGAGGUUUGCUCCACAUCAGGUGGAUACGGAAGAGAGAAAGGCGCGCAGGUUUGAGCAGGGCUUAAAACCCUGGCUCUACAGUAGAAUAUCGAUUUUUCAGAGUGCUUCCUACGGGACCAUUCUGGAGAAGGCGAUAAUAGCUGAAGGUGGUGGUGAGGCAUUGUCUCAGUACCACAAGGAGUGGAAGAACAAGAGUAAGUUAGAAGGAGGUAGUAAGGCUGAAGUUGCCAGUGGAAGUGACAACCUGCCAAAAAGGAAGAGCUUCAACCUUGGGAAUACUGGGGUAAAUUAGGGAGAUCCUAAGCGUAGAACGGAGGCAUGCAAGACAUGCAGAAAGACUCACAUGGGAGUCUGUUUAAAGGGGAAAUUAGUCUGCUAUAACUGUGGGCAGGAGGGACAUUUGUCACCCAACUGUCCUAACCCUAAGAAGAAUCAGGGGUGUUUUGUCUGUGGGUCAUUGGACCACAUGCAAGAAAUUGCCCGAAGAAGGGUUUAGAGGGAAAUAAGGGUUCUGGUAGUGGUAAAUUAGCCAUUACUGUACCAACACCAUCGGUGGGUAGACCCUCAGCUCGUAUGUUUAAUAUGACUGUCCAAGAUGCGGUUACAUAACCGGAUGUGGUAGCAGGUAUCAUUCUGGUCAAUGAGAUAAAUGCUUAUGUGCUAUUUGACUCGGGUGCUACUUGUUCUUUUAUAGCAUGUGAAUUUGCUAAGCAAUUAGGUUUAAUCCCUAAAAAGUUACCACUACCUUUAGACGUUAAGUUAGCCAACGAAGAGAUAAUCCCCAUUGAACAUAUUCAUAAGGAUUGUUGUGUAGAUAUUAGAGGGAAUAAGUUAUGGGUAGAUUUGGUACCGAUAAGGUUAAAAGAAUUCGAUGUAAUUCUUGGUAUGGAUUGGUUGAUUAACUAUAAGGCGAUAAUAGAUUGCCAUAGGAAAAAUGUAAACCUUCGGCUUUCUAAGAAAACCAAGGUAGUGUUCUUCGACAGUAAAUCACCGAUACGUUCUUGUUGUCUGUCGAUGACAGAAGCUAUGAAGAUGUUGAGAAAGGGGUGUGUAGGUUAUCUGUGCCAUGUUGUGGAUACCCAAAGAGUGGGAACAUCCUUGGACCAGAUACCUAUAGUGCAAGAGUUCGCGGAUGUAUUUCCGGAGGAGUUACCAGGUAUUCCACCGGACAGGGAGGUUGAGUUUGUAAUUGAUCUGUUACCGGGAAUGACACCAGUUUCAAGGGCAUCAUAUCGGAUGGCGCCAGUUGAGAUGAAGGAGUUAAUGGUUCAAUUGCAAGAACUAUUAGAUAGAUAGUACAUUCAACCGAGUGUGUCUCCUUGGGGAGCACCGAUAUUGUUUGUAAAGAAAAAGGAUGGGUCGUUAAGACUUUGUAUCGACUAUCGAGAGUUGAACAAGUUAACGAUUAAGAAUAAAUUUCCGAUGCCCAGGAUCGAUGAUCUAUUUGAUCAGUUGAAAGGGGGAAAGUAUUUUUCUAAGAUAGAUUUGCGCAUGGGGUAUCAUCAGUUAAAGGUGAGAAAGGAGGAUGUACCUAAGAUGGCAUUCAGAACUCGUUAUGGUCAUUACGAGUUUCUGGUGAUGUCGUUUAGGUUGACUAAUGCACCAGUCGCAUUUAUGGAUAUGAUGAACAGAGUGUUCAAACAAUAUUUGGACAAGUUCGUCGUAGUGUUCAUUAAUGAUGUUCUAGUCUAUUCAAAGACGUCAGAAGAUCAUGCCAAACAUUUAAGGAUAGCGUUGGAAACACUAAGAAUGGAAAUAAGUACUAUAUUUCACUUUGAUGUGGAAACGUAACAAUGGGUUUAUUGUCUUUAUAAUAUUGUCCUUUAUCAUAUUUUAUACAUAGAUUAGAAAUACAGAAUAAAUAAGGGAAAAUUCUUAUGAAUACGCCCUUCUAAUGAUGAAGAAGUAUGGACGCAUUCGCUCAUAGAAAACGGUAUCAACCUCCCCAUUGCGCAGAUCCCAAAAACGCAUAGUUUCUCCUCCAAAAAUGACUUCUCCGAUCGGGGAACGCAUUAAAUAUUUACCUAAACCAGUAGGUCCUUGAGCGGAUCCCACGUUAGCCCCAAGGCCUGUGGAAAAAAAAGGAUUUGCUGAGACGGAAAUAAAGAUAUCAAGUUUCUACCAAGAUAACUGGAAGUUCCAACCAAUAAGAAUCCUAAUGACCCUAAAAAAAGGAUAACGGCCCAGCAGAAAUUACUUGUUUUUCGAGACCCCAUCAAAAAAAAUUCUUGUUUUUUGACUAAACGGUUAUGAAUGACUUGACAAUUUCAAGUCGAAUCGAAUUUGUGAAAAAUGUCGACUAAUUCGUAGGCGGGGACGAAUUAUAGUAAUUUGUUCCAACCCAAGACAUAAACAAAGACAGGGGUAAUCAGACCCGUUUAAACACCCGGAUCUAUGAUAAGAUCGUUUAUUUACAACGGAAUGGUAUACAAAGUCAACAGAUCUCAAUGAAUACAAUAGGAUUUAUGGCUACACAAACUGUUGAGAACGGUUCUAGAUCUCGUCCAAAACCAACUACUGUAGGGAAUUUACCCGAGUUAUUAAUUUAUAUAAGUUAAGAUCUGUUCUUGAAUAUCAUGGAACUUCUUUUUUUCUUAAGACUGCAAUAAAGGAUUCUUUUGGAACACAAGGAAUAUUUCAUUUAUAUGCGAAAUUCACAAAGUGUGAAUUUUGGCUUGAGAGAGUGCAGUUUCUAGGACAUGUUAUUGACAAAGAUGGCAUUUCCGUGGAUCCAACAAAAGUAGAAGCAGUUAAUGAGUGGGAGCAUCCAAAAAUGCCAACUGAAGUUCGGAGUUUUCUGGGGCGUUACAUUCUCUCCCCCUUAUAAGGAUUCUGUCCCCAGAAUCUCGCUAUAUAAAAAAAAAUUACAUAAAAAGAUCAGGGUAAUUUUUUUUCAUCAUUUCUUCCAACUCCCACGUUGCUUCUUCUGCAUCGUGGUUCUUCCAUAUCACCUUUACGGAAGAUAUGACUUUAUUCCACAAAACUUGUUCUUUUCUAUCGAUAAUUUGAGUCGGCAUUUCUUCGUACGUUAAGUCCUUCUCAAUAUGAAUAGGCUCAUAUUCUAUCACGUGUUUAUAAUCUGGCUUAUAUGGACGUAACACGGAUACGUGAAAUAUAUUAUGUAUUCGUUCUACGUCUGGAGGUAAUGCUAUCAUGUAAGCUACCUCACCCACCCGUUUUAAUACCUCAAAAGGUCCUAUGAACCUCAAACUUAACUUUCCCUUCUUUCCAAAACGUAUCUUUCCUUUUUAGGGAGAUACUUUUAGAAAUACGCACGAACCUACUUCAAAUUCUCUAUUUUCUCUAUGCAAAUCUGUAAACUUCUUCUGUCUGUCUUAAGCUGCUAGAAGACGCAUUUGUAUCAUCAUGACAAUGUCCGCUAUUUGUUGCACCAAUUCUGGUCCCAACAUUCGGCGUUCUCCUACCUCAUCCCAAUACAGUGGUGUUCUGCAUUGCCUUCCACACAAAGCUUCGUAAGGUGGCAUACCUAUGCUCGCAUAAUAACUAUUGUUAUACGCAAACUCCACUAAUGGUAGAUGAUCAUCCCAACUACCCUUGAAAUCCAUGACGCAAGAUCUUAACAUAUCUUCUAACGUCUGAAUUGUUCUCUCACUUUGUCCAUCCGUUUGUGGAUGAUACGUCGUACUCAGCUUUAACUGUGUUCCCAACUGCUCUAGUAGACUCCUCCAAAAGUUUGAUGUGAAUCGUGGAUCACGAUCUGACACAAUUGAUACUGGUACUCCAUGUCUGGAAAUUAUUUCCUUAAUAGAGAGUCUAGCUAAUUGAUCUAAGAUAUACUUGACCCUAAUUGGCAAAAAGUUAGUCGACUUUGUCAAUCGGUCCACUAUUACCCAAAUCACAUCAUACCCUUUUGUUGUAGUUAGAAGUCCUACCACAAAAUCCAUCGUGAUAUUUUCCCACUUCCACUCCGGAAUUUCCAAUGACUUUAAUAAGCCACUUGGUCGUUGAUGUUCGACCUUAACUUUCUGGCGAGUCAAGCACCUAGUCACGUACUCUACUAUCUCUCUCUUCAUGUUCGGCCACCAAAAACUCUGUCGAAGGUCUUGAUACAUCUUAGUACUCCCAGGAUGAAUCAAAAACCUCAAACUAUGAGCCUCUUGUAAUACAUGCUCCUUUAAUUCCGUCUCAUUCGGAACCCAAAUUCUUCCUUCAAAUCUUAAUAAUCCCUCAUUAUUAAGAUUGUACUUAAUAUCUUUUUCAUUGGCUAGCCGUUCCUUUAUCCGGUCACACUCAUCAGUUUUGAGUUGUACCUCGUUAACUCUCUUUACGAUGGUAGAUUGCAUCUCCGUUAUAAACAACAUUUGUCAUGCUUCACUCGACAGCUUCACUUCCAAUUCCAUCCUAGCCAUCUCUGUUAUUAACUCAGUUUGAGCCGUUAACAAAGAUAACUUUUCCCGACCCUUCCUACUUAAGGCGUCGGCAACUACAUUGGCUUUUCCAGGGUGAUACAGGAUUUCACAGUCGUAAUCCUUUAUUAACUCCAGCCAUCUCCUUUGCCUCAUAUUCAACUCCUUCUGUGUGAAGAUAUAUUUUAGACUCUUGUGGUCCGUGUAUAUCUCACAUUUUUCUCCAUAAAGAUAAUGUCUCCAUAUCUUUAGAGCAAAAACUACUGCGGUCAGUUCCAGAUCAUGAGUAGGAUAAACUUUCUUACAAUCCUUCAACUGCCUAGAUGCAUAAGCAAUGACCUUGUCAUGCUGCAUAAGCACGCAACCAAGUCCUCUAUGCGAAGAAUCGCUAUAAACUACAAAAUUUCCUGUGUCAUCAGGCAAUGAUAAAACAGGCGCUUCACACAACCUUUCUUUAGUUGUUGUAACGUCCCAGAAAAUCGAACCUUUUGUAAAUACUUUUAAUAAUGAAUAAAAUAAUAUUAUUUAUUAUUAUUAUGUAUUUGUAAGAUGAAUGUCGUUCUAUAACCUAGAAACAUAAGAAUGCCGUAGUAUUUUUAACUACGUGGGAGAAAUAAAGUGUUUGAAUUUCUAAGACGAAAAUAAAAGCUUUCCGAGAAAUUUUCCAAAAAAUACUAUUCAUCGAUUUCUGCUCGAGAAUUAUUUUUGAACAUCCGAGAAAUACGUAACGUUAUAAUAUCGAAGUGAUAUCGAUUAUGUAAUAAUAAUCUAAGUAUGAAAAACGUAAUAUUUCGCAUGCGGACUUAAUUUGGGAACGUUAGGUUUAUUAAGCGUUAAGGAAAGAAAGUUGUAAUCAUAUGAUGUGUAUGCAUUGUACGAAGUAAUGAAUAUAAGUAUAAUACGAUGUAUUAUACUAUUAAGAAUGGAGAAUAAAAUAACGUAUAUUACGAAUAAAUAUACGAGCUAGCAUACGAGAAUUAUACGUGGUGUAUAUAUGUUAAGUUGUUAAUUAAAUGUAAUGGACUUGUAGGAUUAUUAUCUUAAUGAUAGAAGUCCAAUAGAAUGUGAUACUCAAGCCCAAGUGUUUGAUAUGUCAUGAGUCCAAACUAUUUUAGGGUAAGCCCAAUAAGGAAUUAGCUAGAUAAAUUAGCAAGCCCAAUGAUAAGCCAUGAUCCAUGGGGUAAACCAAGUGAGAAAUGGGUAGCCUUGAUGGGCAAACAUUUUGUUUGGUGACCAAGUGUAGUGAUGAUCAAGUAAUAGAAGUGGCUAGCAAGUAGACUUGGUUGAUAAGCAAUGAAUAGUAAGGAGGUGUAUUAAGGAGGUGAUUAAAGGAGGUGGAAUGUCCAAUUGACUAUAAUGCCCUAGCUUUUGGUUGCCUAUAAAUAGAGAAGCCUCACUUCAUUUGUUGGUUGAUAAAUUUCUCCCAACUACUCUCAAGAUAAGGAACUUAAUUGUUAGAGAGAAUAAGCCACAUAAGCACUUAUAAGCCACUUCAACCUUUGCUAGAUUUUCCAAAGAGGAGUGAAGUAAUAGUCUUCAAGGGUAAGACUCAUAUCUAUUAUCUUCAUCUCUUCUAUGAUAGGAUUGAUAAAGAAGGGGGAUUGUUUGUUAAGAACAUGUAAGAAGUUAUUAAUGAAUGAACCUAAGCCGAAUAAAUUGAAUAAGCAACUUGAACUCUAAUAAGUUGAUAAACUUGUGAAGAACUUGUCAUAUGUUUGUCAUAUGAUGUUAGUAUGUUGAAUAUAGUAUGAGAACAUUGAUUGAUAGACUUAAGUUCAUAGUAAGUCAUAAACAUGAGAAUUUGUAGUUAAUAAGUUGAUUAAGUCAUUGACAUAUGAGAAUAAGUCAAAACCUACUUUGAUGAUAAGUUGGUGUGAUAAGUAACUUGAAAUGUUCAUGUGUUGGUUAAAAUUAAAAUCAUUAGGAAUGAAGUUUUGCCGGAAUUCACACGAUUGGACGAUUAUCGUCGAAUUCGUAAAAUUCUCAGAAUGGAAGUCGUAUUUUGUGUUUGAAGUCGGAAACGUUGGUUUUCGAUUGAGACAAGUCAUAUUUGGCAUUAUAGAGUUGCGGACUCGAAAAUGACCGAAUUCCGACUUAGAACGAAGAAACGAGCGUUGAACGUUCACGGACGUUUAUCGUUUUCGUUAAAAAUGAACUAAUAGGUGAAAUUUUAGCAAACGAAGUCAAAUAGAUAAAAUUAUUGCAUGAACCCAUAGAGUAUGAAAUUUGUGAGCCGUAGGCUUUUUAAUGAGCCAAUUCGGACUUAUAAUGAAGAAGUUAUGCAUCUAGGAGUUUCGUAAAAUUUUCAAAUUUUGCAAACUGUCUGAGGCACAGAGUUGGCGCUGCGGCGCCAACCCAAGGCCAAAAGGUGGUGCUGCAGCAUCGAGUCUGGGGCUUGCCUACUGUAAACUCACGUCGCGGCACGAGAAUGAGAGCUAUGUGUGGCGCCACGGCGCCAGUCCUAAGAAUUUGCCAGAGAAGAAAGUUUUAAAGUAUAGAAUGAAAGGGAACUUAUUAGUAAUGAACUAAGGUAUAAGCAUAACAUUGUUAAGGCAUUGUUAAACACUAAUGUAUGAUGAUUAAGAGUUAAUGAUCACUUGAAUUUGAAUGAAAUGAGAAUGAUGUAAUGAAAAGUCGGAAACCAUAAUAACAGAUCUAAGUCAGAAUUUAGAUUGAGAUGAAGGGUAAGAUAUAAUAAUAUGCCUACUUGAUUACAUGUGACCUAAUGUGGUGCGUUACAUGAUCAUGUAUUGUAGAAACUUAGAGACCUAUACGUGUGAUAAUCAGUAAGCAGACGCUGAAGGCAACCAUUCUAACCCUUGUUCCAGUUCAGUCUGGACAAGCUUUGUAAUUCAUGUAUCCUUUCGCAUGAAGUUUUGUAUGAGGAAGUCAAAGCCAAUUCUUUGGGCUAGACUUAGAUUUUGUUUCUAUCAAAACAUGUACAAUGUUCACCAAGUUAUAUUGGUGUAGUUUUCAAUCGAAGACUGAGUAUGCUAAAAUGUUUUCGUCGUUUAACGACAGGCACGUGAGGUUGCCACAACUUAAACGUAUACACGUUUAAUGAAUGUAGUGUUGAUCAACAUAGAGUACCAUGGGCUGAUCACCCAGAAGUGCUCGUAAGCUAUGCCGGACUUACGGACUUAGUGCCAGGUUGUCCUUUUUAAAAGCAAUAAUGAACUUCUCUUAGUCUUGAGCCUUAGUUGAUAUUCUACUGAAUAUUGUUAUUGAAAAACGACUGUGAAAUCCUGUAUCACCCUGGAAAAACCAAUGUAGUUGCCGACGCCUUAAGUAGGAAGGGUCGGGAAAAGUUGUCAUUAUUAACGGCUCAAACUGAGUUAAUAAUAGAGAUGGCUAGGAUGGAGUUGGAAGUGAAGCUGCCAAGUGAAGGAGGACAAAUUCUGUUUAUGACGGAGAUGCAAUCUACUAUCGUAGAGAGAAUCAAGGAGGUGCUGUUCAAAACUGAUGAGUGUGACCAAGUAAAGGAGCGGAUAACCAAUGAAAAAGAGACUAAGUACAGUCUUGAUAACGAGGGAUUAUUGAGAUUUGAAGGAAGAAUUCGAGUUCCGGAUGAGACGGAAUUAAAGGAGUAGGUGUUACAAGAGGCUAACAGUUCGAGGUUUUCAAUUCAUCCUGGUAGCAGUAAGAUGUAUCAAUAUCUUCGAAAGAGUUUCUGGUUUCCGAACAUGAUGAGAGAAAUAGAAGAGUAUGUGAACAGGUGCUUAACUUUCCAGAGAGUUAAGGUCGAACAUCAACGACCAAGUGGCUUGCUACAGUCAUUGGAAAUUCCGAAGUGGAAGUGGAAGUGGGAGAAUAUCACGAUGGAUUUUGUGGUAGAACUUCCGACUACUCAGAAGGGGUAUGAUGCAAUUUGGGUAAUAGUAGAUCGAUUGACGAAGUCGGCUCACUUUUUGCCAAUUAGGGUUAAGUAUACCUUAGACCAAUUGGCAAGACUUUAUAUUAAGGAAAUAAUUUCUAGACAUGGAUCACCAGUAUCGAUUGUAUCAGAUCGUGACACACGAUUCACGUCAAACUUUUGGAGAAGUCUACAAGAGCAGUUAGGAACGCAGUUAAAGCUGAGUAUGGCGUAUUAUCCACAAACGGAUGGACAGAGCGAGAGAACAAUUCAGACAUUAAAAGAUAUGCUAAGAUCUUGUGUCAUGGAUUUCAAGGGUAGUUGGGAUGAUCAUCUACCAUUAGUAGAGUUUGCAUAUAACAAUAGUUAUCAUGCAAGCAUAGGUAUGCCGCCUUACGAAGCUUUAUAUGGGAGAAAGUGCAGAACACCAUUGUAUUGGGAUGAAGUGGGAGAACGCCGAAUGUUAGGACCUGAAAUGGUGCAGCAAACAGCGGACAUUGUUAAACUGAUACGAAUGUGUUUGGUAGCAGCUCAAGACAGACAGAAGAAGUUUACUGAUUCGCAUCGAGAGAAUAGAGAACUUGAAGUAGGCUCUUACGUAUUUCUAAAAGUAUCUCCCUGGAAAGGAAAGAUAUGUUUUGGAAAGAAAUGGAAGUUAAGUCCGAGGUUUAUAGGACCUUUUGAGGUAUUAAAAUGGGUGGAUGAGGUAACAUAUAUGGUAGCAUUACCUCUAGACCUAGAACGAAUACAUAAUGUAUUUCACGUAUCGGUAUUGCGUUCUUAUAAGCCGGAUUAUAAGCACGUGACAGAAUAUGAACCUAUUCAUAUCGAGAAGGACUUAACAUAUGAGGAAACGCCAAUUCAAAUUGUCGAUAGAAAAGAACAAGUUCUGCGGAAUAAAGCCAUAUCUUCCAUGAAGGUGAUAUGGAAGAACCACGAUGCAGAAGAAGCAACGUGGGAGUUAGAAGAAAUGAUGACAAAGAAUUACCCUCAAUUAUUUGUGUAAUUAUUUUUAUAUAGCGAGAUUCUGGGGACAGAAUCCUUAUAAGGAGGAGAGAGUGUAACGUCCCGGAAAAUCGAACCUUUUGUAAAUACUUUUAAUAAUGAAUAAAAUAAUAUUAUUUAUUAUUAUUAUGUAUUCGUAAGAUGAAUGUCGUUCUAUAACCUAGAAACAUAAGAAUGUCGUAGUAUUUUAACUACGUGGGAGAAUUAAAGUGUUUGAAUUUCUAAGACGAAAAUAAAAGCUUUCCGAGAAAUUUUCUGAAAAACACUAUUCAUCAAUUUGUGCUCGGGAAUUAUUUUUGAACUUCCGAGAAAUAUGUAACGUUAUAAUAUCGAAGUGAUAUCGAUUAUGUAAUAAUAAUCUAAGUAUGAAAAACGUAAUAUUUCGCAUGUGGACUUAAUUUUGGAACGUUAGGUUUAUUAAGCAUUAAGGAAAGAAAGUUGUAAUCAUAUGAUGUGUAUGCAUUGUACGAAGUAAUGAAUGUAAGUAUAAUACGACAUAUUAUACUAUUAAGAAUGGAGAAUAAAAUAACGUAUAUUACGAAUAAAUAUACGAGCUAGCAUACGAGAAUUAUACGUGGUGUAUAUAUGUUAAGUUGUUAAUUAAAUGUAAUGGACUUGUAGGAUUAUUAGCUUAAUGAUAGAAGUCCAAUAGAAUGUGAUACUCAAGCCCAAGUGUUUGAUAAGUCAUGAGUCCAAACUAUUGUAGGGUAAGCCCAAUAAAGAAUUAGCUAGAUAAAUUAGCAACCCCAAUGAUAAGCCAUGAUCCAUGGGGUAAACCAAGUGAGAAAUGGGUAGACUUGAUGGGCAAACAUUUUGUGUGGUGACCAAGUGUUGUGAUGAUCAAGUAAUAGAAGUAUCUAGCAAGUAGACUUAGUUGAUAAGCAAUGAAUAGUAAGAAGGUGUAUUAAGGAGGUGAUUAAAGGAGGUGGAAUGUCCAAUUGACUAUAAUGCCCUAGCUUUUGGUUGCCUAUAAGUAGAGAAGCCUCACUUCAUUUGUUGGUUAAUAAAUUUCUCCCAACUACUCUCAAUAAGGAACUUAAUUGUUAGAGAGAAAUAAGUCACAUAAGCACUUAUAAGCCACUUCAACCUUUAUUAGAUUUUCCAAAGAGGAGUGAAGUAAUAAUCUUCAAGGGUAAGACUCAUAUCUAUUAUCUUCAUCUCUUCUAUAAUAGGAUUGAUUUAGAAGGGGGAUUGUUUGUUAAGAACAUGUAAGAAGUUAUUAAUGAAUGAACUUAAGCCGAAUAAGUUGAAUAAGAAACUUGAACUCUAAUAAGUUGAUAAACUUGUGAAGAACUUGUCAUACGUUAGUCAUAUGAUGUUAGUAUGUUGAAUAUAGUAUGAGAACAUUGAUUGAUGGACUUAAGUUCAUAGUAAGUCAUAAGCAUGAGAAGUUGUAGUUAAUAAGUUGAUUAAGUCAUUGACAUAUGAGAAUAAGUUAAAACCUACUUUGAUGAUAAGUUGGUGUGAUAAGUAACUUGAAAUGUUCAUGUGUUCGUUAAAAUCCAUUUAGAAUCAUUAGGAAUGAAGUUUUGCCAGAAUUCACACGAUUGGACGAUUAUCGUCGAAUUCAUAAAAUUCUUAGAAUGGAAGUUGUAUUUUGUGUCUGAAGUCAGAAACAUUGGUUUUCGUUGGAGACAAGUCUUAUUUGGCAUUAUAGAGUUGCGGACUCAAAAAUGACUGAAUUCUGAUUUAGAACGAAGAAACGAGCGUUGAACGUUCACGGACGUUUAUCGUUUUCGUUAAAAAUGAACUAAUAGGUGAAAUUUUAGCAUACGAAGUGAAAUAGAUAAAAUUCUUGCAUGAACACAUUGAGUAUGAAAUUUGUGAACCGUAGGCUUUUGAAUGAGCCAAUUCGGACUUAUAACGAAGAAGUUAUGCGUCCGGGAGUUUCGUAAAAUUUUCAAAUUUUGCAAACUGUCUGAGGCACAUAGUUGGCGCCGCGGCGCCAACCCAAGGCCAAAAGGUGGUGCUAUAGCGCCGAGUCCGGGACUUGCCUACUGUAAACUCGCGCCGCGACAUGAGAAGGAGAGCUAUGUGUGGCGCCGCGACGCCAAUCCUAAGAAUUUGCCAGAGAAGAAAGUUUUCAAGUAUAGAAUGAAAGAGAACUUAUUAGUAAUGAACUAAGGUAUAAGCAUAACAUUGUUAAGGCAUUGUUAAACACUAAUGUAUAAUGAUUAAGAGUUAAUGAUCACUUGAAUUUGAACGAAAUGAGAAUGAUGUAAUGAAAAGCCGGAAACCAUAAUAACAUAUCCAAGUCAGAAUUUAGAUUGAGAUGAAGGAUAAGAUAUAAUAAUACGCCUACUUGAUUACAUGUGACCUAAUGUGGUACGUUACAUGAUCAUGAAUUGUUGAAACUUAGAGACCUAAAGCGUACAUGUGAUAAUCAGUAAGCAGACGCUGAAGGCAAGUAUUCUAACCCUUGUUCCAGUUCAGUCUGGACAAGCUUUGUAAUUCAUGUAUCCUUUCGCAUGAAGUUUUGUAUGAGGAAGUCAAAGCCAAUUCUUUCGGCUAGACUUAGAUUAUGUUUCUAUUAAAGCAUGUACAAUGUUCACCAAGUUAUAUUGGUGUAGUUUUCAAUCAAAGACUGAGUAUGCUAAAAUGUUUUCGUCGUUUAACGACAGGCACGUGAGGUUACCACAACUUAAACCUAUACACGUUUAAUGAAUGUAGUGUUGAUCAACAUAGAGUACUAUGGGCUGAUCACCCAGAAGUGCUCGUAAGCUAUGCCGGACUUACGGACUUAGUGUCGGGUUGUCCUUUUCAAAAGCAAUAAUGAACUGCUCUUAGUCUUGAGCCUUAGUUGAUAUUCUACUGAAUAUUGUUAUUGAAAAACGUUUGAAUGAAAAGAAGUGUUAUUUUAAAUUAUCGAUAGUACUUCAUAACUAUUGUUCAGUUAUUGAAGAUAUACGAGUUAUGUGUUUCAAGCAUGUUGUUUAUUAGAAUUGUAGUACUUGCUGAGCUAGUCAUGCUCACUCUUGGUUUAAACAUAUGAACACAGCUAAGAUCGAACGGACCGAAGGCUCUGGCAAGGAUAAGGGCAAGACGAAGACGAACCCUUAGAGUUCUGAUGUAAUAGUAUAGGUGAACGAUUGUAAUAUAUUUAAUAUUAUGACAAGAACGAAUGAAUGGGUUAUAAAGAACCUGGGAAAUGUAAUAUUAUUUUGAAUAUAUAGAAGGUAUAUUAGUCCUUUUGAGACUAUUCAAUUGAAUGAAUGAAUGAAUGGUAGUGCCGUGUAGCACCAUCUGUCGGGUUGGAAGAGACCUGGAUUUGGGGGCGUCAUAGUUCUUGAAAACUGUCCUCAUACUUAUCAGUCCAUGCGUAUUUCACCGUCUUCCUUGUCAAGUUAGUCAACAGAGUAGCUAUCUUCGAAAAAUCCUGGAUGAAUCUCCGAUAGUAUCCCGCUAACCCUAGGAAACUCUGCACCUCAGUCGGUAUUUUUGGUUGUUCCCAAUUCAUCACGGCUUCCACCUUCGCUGGAUCUACUGAAAUCCCCUCAUGGUCAAUGACAUGACCUAAAAAUUAUACCUUCUCCAACCAAAAUUCACACUUAGUGAAUUUCGCGUACAACUUCUCCUUUCUUAGUGUCUUCAAAACUAAUCUUAGGUGUUCAGCAUGAUCUUCUGGCGUCUUAGAAUAAACUAGAAUAUCAUCGAUAAACACCACGACGAACUUGACCAAAUAUUAUUUGAACACUCUGUUCAUCAUAUCCAUAAAUGCAGCUGGUGCAUUUGUCAACCCGAAUGACAUCACCAGAAACUCGUAAUGACCAUAACGAGUCCUGAAUGCUGUCUUUGGUACAUCCUCCUUCCUAACCUUCAACUGAUGAUACCCCAUUCUUAAAUCUAUUUUAGAAAAAUACUUAGCCCCUUUCAAGUUAUCAAAGAGAUCAUUCAUCCUGGGCAAUGGGUAUUUAUUCUUUAUCGCUAACUUGUUCAACUCUCGGUAGUCGAUUCAAAAUCUUAACGAUCCGUCCUUCUUUUUAACAAACAGUACCGGUGCUCCCCACGACAAAACACUCGGUUGAAUGUACUUCCUGUCCAACAGUUCUUGUAACUGCACCAUCAACUCCUUCAUCUCCACUGGCGCCAUACGAUAUGGUGCCCUAGAAACUGGUGCCGCUCCUGGCACGAUGUGUAUUACAAAAUCUGUCUCCCUAUUCGACAGAAGACCCGACAAUUCACUCAGAAAUACAUCGGUGAAUUCUCUUACUAUAGGUAUUUGUUCCAUAGUUGCUACCAGUGUCUGGGUAUCAACAACAUGACACAGAUAACCUACACAUCCCUUCUUCAGAAAUUUCCUAAUUUGUGUCAUGGUUAGACAACACGAACGUCCCGGCGAUCUAUUCCCGUAAAAUACUACCUGAGGUUGUCUUAACGUCUUAAUGUUCAUAGAUUUCUUUUGACAAUCUAUAAUUGCCCCAUGGUUAACUAACCAAUCCAUUCUGAGAAUUACGUUGAAUUCUCCUAACUUUAUCAGUAUCAAAUCUACCGAUAAUUUACAACCCCGUAUAUCUACGCAACAACUCCUAUGAACAUCUUCAACAGGAAUUAUUUCUUCAUUUUCUACCUUAAUAUUUAAAGGUAUAGGCAACUUUUCGGGAAGUAAUCCUAAUCGUCUAGCAAAAUCGCAUGCUAUAAACGAACAAGUAGCACCCGAAUCAAACAGCACGUAAGCAUUUAUGUCAUUGAUCAGAAUAAUACCUACGAUGACGUCCCCUGAUGUAACUGCAUCUUGGACUGUCAUGUUAAAGGUACGGCCCAUCAGCCUACCCGGCUGCGCUGGACCACUAAUGGCUAACUUAUCGCUAUUAGUACCCCGAUUCCCGUCCGUCCCCUUCUUCGGGCAGUUCUUUGCCAUGUGGUCGGUUAACCCACACAUAAAGCAUCCAUGAUUCUUCAUUGGACUUGGACAGUUAAGCGUAAUGUGCCCUUCCUAUCCACAGUUGUAACAGACGGCCUUCCCCUUGAGACAGACUCCUAAAUGAGACUUCCCAUAGGUCUUGCAUGCCUCCAUCCUCCUCUUUGGGUCUCCUUGCCUCACUCUGGUAUUCCCAGAGCUGAACGCCUUCCUCUUUUGUCCCUCGCCACUACCGCUUGCUCCUUCAACCUUUACUCCCCCAUCCACUUUCCCCUUGCUCUUCUUAUCCUUGUGGUAUUGACUCAGAGACUCACUACCACUUUCGGCAAUUAUUGCCUUCUCUAAAAUGGUUCCAAAAGAAGUACUUUAGAACACCGAAAUACAGUUAUAGAGCCAGGGUUUCAAGCCCUGCUCGAACCGUUGCACCUUCCUAAUCUCGGUAUCCACUUGGUGUGGAGCGAACCUCGUCAGUUCAUUAAACUUUGCGGCGUAUUGGGGAACCAUCAUGUCCCCUUAUUUCAACUCCAGAAACCGCAUCUCCAUCCUUCCCUGCAUGCUCGUGGGAAAGUAGUUCUCAAAGAAUAUCUCCUUGAACCUCUCCCACGUCAGAUUCGCUAUCCCGGCCUUAGCCUGAAUCACUUCCCACCAAAACUUGGCCUCUCCCUUCGUCAUAUAGGUUGAAAAGGCAACCUUCUGGGCCUCGUUGACAUUUACUAUCACAAAUGCCUUCUCUAUUUCCUUCACCCACGUUUGGGCUUCAAUAGGGUCCGUAGUUCCUUUGAACUCCGGCGGACCCACACUCCUGAAAUCCUUAAAGGUAGUAGCUCGUGCUACUCCUAGAUUUACGGGGAUAUUAGCCCCUGUUCUAUUAAAGCCAGUUGUUAACAGGUUAACGAACUUCUGCAUUGGGUUAACCGGACCUCCCUUCGGUUGAUUCACAUUAGCUGCUUGGUUACAUUGCACUCUUCUCGGUGGCAUUUUGCUGAUACAAUAACCACAUUUCAUUAUUAUUCCUUUCUUUAUUAGUUAUUAUUUUAUAUUAAAUAAUAACUUCAACAUCCAUUACUCAUUGAUUUCCAUAAAAAGGCUUAUAUUCAUUCUUUGUAGUAUAAUAUUACAUUGGUUACAUUACACAGCCUAAGCUGAUUAUAUUACUUUCACGCUGUUGCUUUCCAAAAAUUGGGAUUUACAAAAACUACCCUUCACUAUACAAAGAGGGCUUUACAUCACUACUAAUUACAAAAUAUUUACAUACCUAAACUACUCUAGCUACUACUAGAUUACAUCUGCCUUAAGGAAUUAUCGAAAUCUGCCUUGGCAAGAUCGACAAUGAUAUCACGGCUAAUAGUAUGUCGUGUCUGCCCCACCUCUACAGGAUAUCCAACUACCUACAGCUAGAAAUCUGUUUGAGAACUCCUAUGAAUAUAGGACAUCCUCCCUAUCUUCUGUAGUUUGGACUUUAGCUCCUCCUUGAGCUCAGAGACCUCAUGUUUCAGCUCAUGGACCUUGUCCUUGGCCAAAACCCUUUCAUCAUGCUCCUGCUCCCAUAUGGACUCAACAUCAGUCUUGUCCUCUAUGACAGCUUGGAGCUCUGCCUUCAGCUCCUUGACCUCCUGACAGUAAUGGAUAUUUCUAUCCAAUACCGACAUGAAUAGAGACAUCAUCGACCCCCCAAGAGCUAUCUCUGCUGCUAUAGCUACUGGAUUAAAGGACACCACCUCUACUUCCUCCUCUAUCAUACCAUCGAAUACUGACAUGAGGUCAGGAUCCUCUGAGUCUCUAGACGCAAUGACAACUAACUCAGGCUCUGCCGUUAUGGGGUUCGGUAUGACCUCUAUUUGGUUCACUGACUCUUCACUAAUGGCCUGUCCAUCUAUAUACAUUUCAUUUACUCCUGACAUCUACACAAAACAAUUAAGUGGAUUAGUACACGUCAGUAUAAUCAUAAAAACACAUAAUAUAAUCAUAAUGCAUUUUUAUAAGGUUAUUUUCUUCUUUUACUUCUUUGACUUCCCUUAAGGUUAUGACUUAAGGUUUUUAAUCCUCCCCUUAAGUUUUAUAACCUAAUGCUUUGAUACCAACCUGUGACGCCCCAAAAUCCGGGUAUCUUCCAACCCGACAGAUGGUGCUACACGAUACUACCAUUCACACAUACAUUCAAUUGAAAAGUCUCAAAAGAACGAAUAUGUCUUCUAUAUAUUAGAAAUAAUAUUACAUUUCCCCAGGUUCUUUAUAACCCAUACAUUCGUUCUUGUCAUAAUAUUCAAUAUAUUACAAACAUUCACCUAUACCAUUACAUAAGUAAUUUAAGGGUUCAUCUUCGCCUUGCCCUUAUCCUUGCCGAAGCCUUCGGUCCUUUCGAUCUUAGCUGUGUUCAUAUGGUUCAAGCAAGAGUGAGCAUAACUAUCUCAGCGAGUACUACAAUUCUAAUAAACAACAUGUUUGAAACCUAGAACUCAUAUAUCUUCAAUAACUGAACAAUAGUUACGAAGUACUAUCGAUAAUUCAAAAUAGCACUUCUUUUCAUUCAAAACAUUUUACAACAACAAUAUUCAGUAAAACAUCAAUUUCGGUCCAAGACCUUGAGCAUUUCAUAAGUUCUUUUGAAAAAGGACAUCCCGUCACUAAGUUCGUAAGUCCGGCAUUACUUACGAGCAUGUCUAGGUGAUUAGCCUAUAGUACUCUAUGUUGAUCAAAACUACAUUUAUUAAACGUGUAUACGUUUAAGUUGUUGCAACCUCAUGUGCCUGUCGUUAAACGACAAAAACAUUUUAGCAUACUCAGUCUUCGUUUGAAAAACACACCAAUAUAACUCGAUAAACAUUAAUCAUGCUUGAUAGAAUCAUAAUAUAAGUCUAUCCGAAAGAAUUGGCUUUGACUUCAUCAUACAAGACUUCAUGCGAAAGAAUAUAUGAAUUUCAAAGCUUGUCCAGACUAAACUGGAACAAGGGUUAGAAUACUUGCCUUUAGCGUCUGCUUAUUGUUUAUCACACAUACACUGUAAGUCUCUAAGUCUCUAUAAUACAUGAUCAUAUAACGUACCACAUUAGGUCAUAUAUAAUCAAGUGUGUAUGCCACUAGAUCUUACCCUUCAUCUCAAUCUAAUCCUGACUUAGAUUUGUUUAUUAUUGGUUCCGACUUUUCGUUACAUUGUUUCAUUAUGUUCAUAUUUAAUUACUUAUCUUCAACCUUUAGACAACAUAAAUAAGGUUUAACAAUACCUUACAAUACCUUAUUAAGUUCCUUUGUUUAUUACUACUGAGUUAACAGUAUGCAAGUCCCGGACUCGGCGCUGCGGCGCGAGUCUCCUUUGUUAUAGCAGCGCUGCGGCGCCAGUUAGCAGUGUGCUCUGUCUCGGCCUCGCGCUGUGGCGCAGGCCUUAAAGCUGUGAGUUGCGCCGUGGUGUGGACUUUGUGCCUCAGACAAUUUUGCAGAUUUUGAAAUUUUGCGAAACUCCCGGACACAUAACUUCUUCGUUAUAAUCAAAAGCAUGCGGUUUAAAAAUUACAUACUCUAUGCGUUCAUGCAAGAAUUUUAUCUAAUGGACUUUGUUUGCUAAAAUUUCACCUAUUAGUUCAUUUUUAACGAAAACGAUAAACGUUCGUGAACGUUCAACGCUCGUUUCUUUGUUCUUAGUCAAAAUCCGGUCAUUUUUGAGUCCGUACAUCUAUAAUGCCAAAUAUGACUUGUCUCCAUCGAAAACCAACGUUUUCGACUUCAAACACAAAAUACGACUUCCAUUCCGAAAAUUUCACGAAUUCGACGAUUAUCGUCUAAUCGUGUGAAUUCCGACGAAAACCCAUUACUAAUCUUUCUAAAUGGAUUUUAAUCAACAUAUGAACAUUUCAAGUUACUUAUUACACCAACUUAUUAUCAAAGUAAGUUUUGACUUAUUCUUAUAAGUUAAUAACUUAAUCAACUUAUAAACUACAAAUUUUCUUGCUUGUGACUUAAUAUGGACUUAAGUCCAUCAAUCAAUGUUCUCAUACCAUAUCUGUAAGACCCCAACUUAUUAUAAAUAAAAUUAAAUUUCCUCUAUUUAUUAUUUUGAAAUAGUAAGGGUUGAUUUGAUUAAUGUGGUUAGUUAUGGGUAAAAUGCGCAAAUAUUUUAAAUAUUCAAGUGGUUAUAAAAUAUUCAUUUUUAUCGGAGAAUAUUCGUUUGGUCGUGGAAUAUUCUUACUGUCGGGGAAUAUUCGUACGACGGCGCAGCCUUGUGUGGGCCCCAUAACGGAAAGCGAUUGGAUGAAGAAAACGACAAGUAUAAGUUGUUUAUAAAUAACGGCGUAGUUGUUACCGUUAAUACUGUUGGAAUACCCGGUGGUUAAAACACAGUAAUACGCGUUGUUGCACAGUAGCACACGGUAUUGCACCAAUUAUUGAUUCUUACGUAAGAAGGCACUACUCAAUAAUUGUUACAGUAAUUACUGUUCAGUAUUUUAUUUUAUUGAUUCAAUAAUUGCUGCGUUGAUAUUUUAUAUUACUGUUGUUUCAAUAAUUGUCACUACACAGUAUUUUCCAUUAUCGAAGCAAUAAUUCAUAUUAUCUGAAUAAUAUUAUUAGAUAACAUUAUUGGCAAUGUCUAGAAAGUUCUGUCUAAGGAGAGGUUUGGUCACCUAAUUGCGCGCCAGUAAGGAGAAAUUCUUAUUGGAAAGCCCCCUCUUUCCUGGGAACUGCCUGGUUGUCAAUAUUGUGAUUCUGUAAUAUUAUUUGUGAAUAAUUAAUUAUUGAUUCAUAUGAUGAGGAAAAUAUUGAUUUUAUGUGGAUAUAGAUGGAGAAAAUUUUUAAUGUGACAAUUGUUGAAAAAUUAUUAUUUUAUCUUUUCUGAUAAAUAAUUCAUUUAAAUAUAUUAUUAUAUUUUAAUAAUAUAAUAAUGGUGAUAUUUUUACAAUGAAUGUGGGAUAUAUGAGUAUAUGAGGAGGAGUAUUUUUGUUAAAAUUAAUGUUUAAAACAUUUUAAACAUGUCGGUGGACCUCAUUUCUUGACUGAAAUUUGAUUAUAGCUUGUAAAAUCGCUCGUUUGUGGAUUUCGGUCAAUUUCUGUUUGGAAUUUGGAAAACUUUCUUCUGCAAAGUUGUAGAUAAUGGAAUUUUCUAUGGAAAAGACAUAAGGUUUUAAUUUUUCUAAUAAAAGGGCCAUUUAUUAUGAAUUAUUAAAGUUCAGAAGUUUUGAAAUAAUUGAUUUUUAGAAGUUUUAAUUUUGUUUAUUAAGAAAAAUGUUUUUUCCAUUUAAUGGGCCUCACUUGCACAUGUUAGUUGUUGAAUUCAGAUUAAAUUUUCUACUUUGGUGUUCUAAGCAUUUUCCUAUAAAUAGGGUGCUUAGGUUAGAAUUGAAAAUCACACAAGAAACUAAAGUUUUCUCUCUCUUUCUCUCUCUAUAUUAUUGAGCGUAUUCUUGUGAGUAUUUUGAUACUUUGAGUGUUGCUAUACGGUGCAAGUUCCCUUCAGCACUAUAUCCAGUAUUCUAGUCAGAAGUACUGUCUUUUCGAGGUAAGGGAUGCUAUUUUCUUCAUAUAUAAUAUUAUUUCUUUCAAUAUCAUUAUGCCGAAGUAUUGAUCUGAACUUUUAAUCAAAUUUGAAAAUUUUGGUGUCGGGGUUACUAUUAACAUAUACGAUACUAUUCACGUAUACGGCACUAUUCACGAAUACUACACUAUUCACAGAAAAAUUAAAUUUUCAUUUUUUUUGUCCAAAAUAUCUAUUAUGGAUACUAGCUUUCAUUGUAUCCAUGUUUUGAUCAUUCUUGAAUUUUACUUCACUAUGAUUAUUAAUGAAGUAUUUUUGAACUUGGACUGUUUAAAGUAUGAAUCCUUAAUAGUUGUUCUUUUGUUUCACUGGAUUCGUUUUCUUUAAAAUAUUUUUCAUCAUCCUCACUCCUAAAUGAUGAUAUUACUGAAUAUCUUUGGCCUGUAGUGCAAAGAUGAAUAUUUGAUUCAAGAUGAAUAUUGAUUGAUGUUACAGAGAUAAAAUAUUGAUAAUGGACUUUUAAAUUCAUAGAUAAUAGUAGAUUUAAUUCUCUACGUAACUCAUCUAUGAAUUAUUAUUUCCGCUGCAAAUAUUGAUCUGAAACUUGUUGUCUAUUGUAUUUUAUCAGAUUUUUCCCUGUUGAAGACUAACGAUAAUUUGUUCUAUAUUAUCUUAGUCAUAAUAUUCUUUACUGGGAUAGUUGAGCUCACCCUUUUUCUUUUUGUUCCAUUUUUCUUCUCAGGAGGCGAGAAUGUAGCGAGUUCUAAUCGGGGUGUGGAAUGAUGAUUCUAGAAAAUUGUUUUAGUAGUCCUCACCAUUUUUGUAAAAUAAUAUACCAAUAAUUGUAAUGAGGACUUAUUUGGGUGUGAAUAUUGACUAGACGGCAAUAUUUGUAUUUAAACUCAUAGUUUUCAUGUUGUAUUAAUAAAGUUGUAGUUGUUUCUGUACCAUGUUAUUGACGACUCAAAAUGGGUGAUGUAUACCUAUUUUGGGGGCGUCACAAUAUCGAACAUACUAACAUCAUGUGACAAACAUAUGAUAAGUUCUUCACAAGUUUAUCAACUUAUUUAAGUUUAAGUUGCUUAUUCAACUUAUUCGGCUUAAGUUCAUUCAUUACUUACUUCUUAUUUAUUCUUAGCAUACAUGCACAUUAAGUUACACUUCUCUAUCAAUCUUAUUAUGGUAGAGAUAGACUAAUAGAUCACAAGAUCAUUUACCUUUGAUGACUAAAGUCUUCUUCUUUGAAAUCUAGCAAAAGGUUGAUUUGGCUUUAAAAGUGUUUAUUCUCUCUAACACGUAAGUUAAUUUGUUUUGGGUGAAAGUUGAACAAUGAAAAAUGAUCAACAAACUCUCCUAUUUAUAGGCUUGGCAAAGUGAGGGCAUAAUGGUCUUUUAGGCCUUGCACCUCCUCAACUAACCUCCUUAAUCCACCUCCUUACUAUUCAUUGCUUUACAACUAAGUAAACUUGUUAGCCACAUCUAUUACUUGAUCAUCACAACACUUGAUCAUCACAGAAAGUGCUUGCCCAUCAAGACUACCCAUAUUACUCUUGGUUUGCUCCAUGGAUCAUGGCUUAACACAUUGGGCUUGCUUAAUUAAUCUAGCCAAUUCUUAUUGGGCUUACAUUACAAUAGUUUGGACCCAUGAUUACAGUAACACAAAUUUUGAAGAAAGUUAUGCACUAUCUAUAAGCAUGUUCAUAGUAAGGAAGUUAAAGAUCUUAAAGUAUAUAAUAGGCACUAAUAAGGUCCUUAUUACAUUUAAGCAAAUUAAUAGUUGUGUUAUUUAUGCACUAUCUAGAGGAACGUGGAAUGUAUGAAAUAAUCUGAAAGCUAUUGGAAAAAUGGUUUCAUAUCAUUAUAUAUCCAAGUUUUCUAUCUUCUUCUCCAUGUUAUCUCAAUCUCUAAGCAAUUUCAUUGCUAAUACCUCGAUAUUGGUCCUAUUAUUCACUAAUCAACACUGUUCUUCAUCAAAAGCUAUUGUUCUUCAGCAAAUCAUAUAACCAACUUCAUUAGUUAGUUAAUCUCUUUGCCUUAGAUUUGAAGUGAGUCAGGUCACUAGGAUUUUCUCAACACAAUCCAUCUAACUUUACCAGACCCCCUUUCAAUUUCUGGAUGUACCGAAACUUGUCUCAUAUUCAAAGUUUCUCACUUUUUAAAAAGAACAGUAGGACAUCAAAUUAUAAGAAUACAACUCUCAGUUUAACACUACUAUCGUUUUCCUAACAACCAAAUAGUGCAGAAUAUAAUUGAUCAUGAAGGACCGUUAAUCCAUCCAUAAGUUCACUAUUAAAACAUCCUUUGAUAUGCAAUUGAAAUUGUUACAAAUGUUAUAUCAAACAACUAGUUCAAAUUACUGGUGUCUAUAUAAAGCAAAAGAAGAAACGUGCAUCUGUACGAAUUAUUUAUACAGUAAUUUUACACUAUGUAUAGAUUCGUAUAUAUAAUAGCACAAAUCCCUAAUACAGAGCUAGGUCUACUAUAAUAGAUAAUGAAAUCGAAGUAAAACCAGUGAAGUUACCAUUGAUUUCAUGUAAUUGUGGACGGAAUCGAUGUCAUCUGAAUCGAUGGCGGUUUGUGCGUCUUUAAAGGUUCGAGGGAACAGGGAGAGAACGGAGUGGCCAUGAAGCAGAUAGGGUAAAUCGGAGCUCGAAGGUUGAAUCAAAGCCAUGGUUCACGAUUCAUGAAGAUAAAACUUGACACCCUAGGCUUGAGGAUAGAGAAUGUGUCCACUUGCUUGGAGGUUGACAGAAAUGAUGGAGGAGGGGUAUCCAUCCAGCCCUAGAACAAGAAGAUCUAAAUCUGAUUUCUUUUUGGGUUUAUAGCAAAAGAU
rnacentral:lncRNA from 1 species